rnacentral:rRNA from 1 species
GGUUAAGCGACUAAGCGUACACGGUGGAUGCCCUGGCAGUCAGAGGCGAUGAAGGACGUGCUAAUCUGCGAUAAGCGUCGGUAAGGUGAUAUGAACCGUUAUAACCGGCGAUUUCCGAAUGGGGAAACCCAGUGUGUUUCGACACACUAUCAUUAACUGAAUCCAUAGGUUAAUGAGGCGAACCGGGGGAACUGAAACAUCUAAGUACCCCGAGGAAAAGAAAUCAACCGAGAUUCCCCCAGUAGCGGCGAGCGAACGGGGAGGAGCCCAGAGCCUGAAUCAGUGUGUGUGUUAGUGGAAGC